rnacentral:rRNA from 1 species
AAAAACCCAGGUGGUGUGAGAUGGAUCCGCGUCUGAUUAGCCAGUUGGCGGGGUAACGGCCCACCAAAGCGACGAUCAGUAGCCGACCUGAGAGGGUGACCGGCCACAUUGGGACUGAGACACGGCCCAAACUCCUACGGGAGGCAGCAGUGGGGAAUAUUGCACAAUGGGCGCAAGCCUGAUGCAGCGACGCCGCGUGAGUGAAGAAGUAUCUCGGUAUGUAAAGCUCUAUCAGCAGGGAAGAAAAUGACGGUACCUGACUAAGAAGCCCCGGCUAACUACGUGCCAGCAGCCGCGGUAAUACGUAGGGGGCAAGCGUUAUCCGGAUUUACUGGGUGUAAAGGGAGCGUAGACGGCGACGCAAGUCUGGAGUGAAAGCCCGGGGCCCAACCCCGGGACUGCUUUGGAAACUGUGUUGCUGGAGUGCAGGAGAGGUAAGUGGAAUUCCUAGUGUAGCGGUGAAAUGCGUAGAUAUUAGGAGGAACACCAGUGGCGAAGGCGGCUUACUGGACUGUAACUGACGUUGAGGCUCGAAAGCGUGGGGAGCAAACAGGAUUAGAUACCCUGGUAGUCCACGCC